UACGGAGGGUGCAAGCGUUAUCCGGAUUCACUGGGUUUAAAGGGUGCGUAGGCGGGCAGGUAAGUCAGUGGUGAAAUCUCCGGGCUUAACCCGGAACUGCCGUUGAUACUAUCUGUCUUGAAUAUCGUGGAGGUAAGCGGAAUAUGUCAUGUAGCGGUGAAAUGCUUAGAUAUGACAUAGAACACCCAUUGCGAAGGCAGCUUACUACACGAUCAUUGACGCUGAGGCACGAAAAGCGUGGGGGAGCAAAACAGG
rnacentral:rRNA from 1 species